GACGGAGGGUGCAAGCGUUGUUCGGAUUGACUGGGCGUAAAGGGCGUGUAGGCGGUCGGCCAAGUCUGAUGUGAAAGCCCGGGGCUCAGCUCCGGAAGGGCGUCGGAUACUAGUCGGCUGGAGCGCGAUAGAGGAGGGUGGAAUUCCUGGUGUAGCGGUGAAAUGCGUAGAUAUCAGGAGGAACACCGGCGGCGAAGGCGGCCCUCUGGAUCGCUGCUGACGCUGAGACGCGAAAGCGUGGGGAGCAAACAG
rnacentral:rRNA from 1 species